UAACAUAUAGUGAAUGAAUCACUAUUGAGAAUCUCAUAUCAAUAUCAACACAAAUGAUGAGCAAAUCAUUAAGGAGUCAGUUUUAACACGGUCGUACUGGCUGUAGUAUGCUUUCGAAAUAAACCCUGCUUCAAUUAGGUCUUUUGAGGGUUGUAACGUGACCUGGUUCACGGUUUUCAGAAAAAAAGGAUUUAUAACCCUCCCAUUCUC
rnacentral:lncRNA from 1 species